rnacentral:rRNA from 1 species
UACGUAGGGUGCGAGCGUUGUCCGGAAUUAUUGGGCGUAAAGGGCUCGUAGGCGGCUUGUCGCGUCGAAUGUGAAAACUCGGGGCUCAACUCCGAGCUUGCAUUCGAUACGGGCAGGCUAGAGUUCGGUAGGGGGAGACUGGAAUUCCUGGUGUAGCGGUGAAAUGCGCAGAUAUCAGGAGGAACACCGGUGGCGAAGGCGGGUCUCUGGGCCGAUACUGACGCUGAGGAGCGAAAGCGUGGGGAGCGAACAGG